AGUGGCGGACGGGUGAGUAACGCGUGGGUAACCUGCCUUAUACAGGGGGAUAACAGUCAGAAAUGGCUGCUAAUACCGCAUAAGCGCACAGAGCUGCAUGGCUCAGUGUGAAAAACUCCGGUGGUAUAAGAUGGACCCGCGUUGGAUUAGCUUGUUGGUGGGGUAACGGCCCACCAAGGCGACGAUCCAUAGCCGGCCUGAGAGGGUGAACGGCCACAUUGGGACUGAGACACGGCCCAGACUCCUACGGGAGGCAGCAGUGGGGAAUAUUGCACAAUGGGGGAAACCCUGAUGCAGCGACGCCGCGUGGAGGAAGAAGGUCUUCGGAUUGUAAACUCCUGUUGUUGGGGAAGAUAAUGACGGUACCCAACAAGGAAGUGACGGCUAACUACGUGCCAGCGGCCGCGGUAAAACGUAGGUCACAAGCGUUGUCCGGAAUUACUGGGUGUAAAGGGAGCGCAGGCGGGAAGACAAGUUGGAAGUGAAAUCUAUGGGCUCAACCCAUAAACUGCUUUCAAAACUGUUUUUCUUGAGUAGUGCAGAGGUAGGCGGAAUUCCCGGUGUAGCGGUGGAAUGCGUAGAUAUCGGGAGGAACACCAGUGGCGAAGGCGGCCUACUGGGCACCAACUGACGCUGAGGCUCGAAAGUGUGGGUAGCAAACAGGAUUAGAUACCCUGGUAGUCCACACCGUAAACGAUGAUUACUAGGUGUUGGAGGAUUGACCCCUUCAGUGCCGCAGUUAACACAAUAAGUAAUCCACCUGGGGAGUACGACCGCAAGGUUGAAACUCAAAGGAAUUGACGGGGGCCCGCACAAGCAGUGGAGUAUGUGGUUUAAUUCGACGCAACGCGAAGAACCUUACCAAGUCUUGACAUCCCUUGACGAUGCUGGAAACAGUAUUUCUCUUCGGAGCAAGGAGACAGGUGGUGCAUGGUUGUCGUCAGCUCGUGUCGUGAGAUGUUGGGUUAAGUCCCGCAACGAGCGCAACCCUUAUGGUCAGUUACUACGCAAGAGGACUCUGGCCAGACUGCCGUUGACAAAACGGAGGAAGGUGGGGAUGACGUCAAAUCAUCAUGCCCUUUAUGACUUGGGCUACACACGUACUACAAUGGCGUUAAACAAAGAGAAGCAAGACCGCGAGGUGGAGCAAAACUCAGAAACAACGUCCCAGUUCGGACUGCAGGCUGCAACUCGCCUGCACGAAGUCGGAAUUGCUAGUAAUCGUGGAUCAGCAUGCCACGGUGAAUACGUUCCCGGGCCUUGCACUCACCGCCCGUCA
rnacentral:rRNA from 1 species